rnacentral:lncRNA from 1 species
AAGAGACAUCCCAGAGGAGCCCAAGAGGUCCUGUGUUCAACUUAGUAGAUACGACCCUCUCUUACACUUCUCUCUUUCUGAAAUGGGAAACUGAGAAGUGGGAUGAUCAGGGUAACCAGAUUGUCAAGGUGACAAAAGAAAUGGCAGAUAAACUCUAUCACAUGGCCCAGUACCUAAAGAAGAAAGGGCCAAUCCAGACCAAAGAUGCUUUUGUAACAUCUGCUAAAGAUCUUGUCUCAAGCGGCCAGUCGAUCACCCAGUUUGUGCGUGUCAUAGCAGACCACUGUCUGGACAAGCAUUGUACUGAGGAGCUCUUUGUCAUUGCAGAGCAGAUCCUUACCAUUUCCAACCAACUUACCAUCAUUUCAAGGGGUGCAUGGUGUCUCUCCAGUGUUAAUGCAGUUACUCCUGGGUGCAAAUCAUCAGAUGAGAUCCUGGUGAAGAAUGCACAGAAUCUACUCCAGACAGUUAUCCAAGGAGUACGAGCUGCAGAGACUGCCUGCAUCAGGGGUUUGAAACAGCCUGAGCCAAACUCGGAAGCAGCAAAGGCAGCAGCGUUCUGUUUCCAGUGGAAAAAGGGUCUCCUUAUGCACCGAGCUCAAGAACAGCUUAACCCCGAAACGGAUUAUUUGGGUCUACGAAGGACCUCCCAGCAUUCAGCGGCGCCCAGCCUUGCACCACCCA